UUCCCAUUCUUUUUGCGUUCAUCAGUCACAUGGGAACGAGCACAAUGUGUGGUCAUUAUGUCUGCCACAUCAAGAAGGACCAACAGUGGGUAAUCUUUAAUGAUCAGAAAGUUUGUGCCUCUGAGAAACCACCUAAGGACCUUGGCUACCUGUACUUUUACAGAAGAGUGGUUGAAUAGAGUAAACUAGAAUAGCAUUUCCCUCACACACACACACACACACACACACACACACUCCUCUGUAUCUGAUCUACUGAAACAGUAGGGCCAGACUCCUGCUUCUAAACUGACACACCAUUUCAAAGCACUUCUCAGUCAAAUAUAUUCACUACCAAGAGAACUGUAAUGAAGACAGAAGGGGAAAAAAUGAGAUGUAAAAUGUGAAGAUUAGUGUUCUUACUCAAAACGCCUUGUUGUACAACGCCUUACCACACACACACACACACACACACACUCUCUAGUCUCUUUUGUGCCUCCCCCUGAUUGGAUAGUGGCUAUUGUGACAUCAUCGCUUUUAGAGCUAAGCUCCUCCUUCCUUUGUUUCAGAAUGUUCUUGCAAAUGUUUAAUGGCAAGUAAAUGUCACUAAAUCACAAAAAA